rnacentral:rRNA from 1 species
UACGUAGGUGGCGAGCGUUGUCCGGAUUUACUGGGCGUAAAGAGCGCGCAGGCGGUCGUUCAAGUCGAGUGUGAAAGCCCCCGGCUCAACUGGGGAGGGUCACUCGAUACUGAUCGACUCGAAGGCAGGAGAGGGUAGUGAAAUUCCCGGUGUAGUGGUGAAAUGCGUAGAUAUCGGGAGGAACACCAGUGGCGAAGGCGACUACCUGGCCUGUUCUUGACGCUGAGGCGCGAAAGCUAGGGGAGCAAACGGG